rnacentral:rRNA from 1 species
CUUAACACAUGCAAGUCGAGGGGCAGCAUUUUAGUUUGCUUGCAAACUGAAGAUGGCGACCGGCGCACGGGUGAGUAACACGUAUCCAACCUGCCGAUAACUCCGGAAUAGCCUUUCGAAAGAAAGAUUAAUACCGGAUAGCAUACGAAUAUCGCAUGAUAUUUUUAUUAAAGAAUUUCGGUUAUCGAUGGGGAUGCGUUCCAUUAGUUUGUUGGCGGGGUAACGGCCCACCAAGACUACGAUGGAUAGGGGUUCUGAGAGGAAGGUCCCCCACAUUGGAACUGAGACACGGUCCAAACUCCUACGGGAGGCAGCAGUGAGGAAUAUUGGUCAAUGGGCGAGAGCCUGAACCAGCCAAGUAGCGUGAAGGAUGAAGGCUCUAUGGGUCGUAAACUUCUUUUAUAUGGGAAUAAAGUUUUCCACGUGUGGAAUUUUGUAUGUACCAUAUGAAUAAGGAUCGGCUAACUCCGUGCCAGCAGCCGCGGUAAUACGGAGGAUCCGAGCGUUAUCCGGAUUUAUUGGGUUUAAAGGGAGCGUAGGUGGAUUGUUAAGUCAGUUGUGAAAGUUUGCGGCUCAACCGUAAAAUUGCAGUUGAAACUG